rnacentral:rRNA from 1 species
UACGUAGGUGACGAGCGUUAUCCGGAAUUAUUGGGCGUAAAGCGCACGCAGGCGGCUUAUCAAGUCUGACGUGAAAUCUCCCAGCUUAACUGGGAGCGGUCGUUGGAAACUGAUGGGCUUGAGGCAAGGAGAGGGGUGUGGAAUUCCCGGUGUAGUGGUGGAAUGCGUAGAGAUCGGGAGGAACAUCAGUGGCGCAAGCGGCACCCUGGCCUUGGCCUGACGCUCAGGUGCGAAAGCGUGGGGAGCGAACGGG